rnacentral:lncRNA from 1 species
ACAUUCUCCCCCUGCUCCCGAUGGCGCUCCUGGAAGCUCUGCAACUAUGCUCCACUUCAAAUGGAUCUAAGAAAUGCCCAACCCUUAACCUUUCAGUUGGCUUCCUCAACAUGCAUGUAGCCUCUCCUACAUUUUCUAAUGACGGAUGUUCAAGUUCCUUAUUGCUUGAACCAAAUGAGUAACUGAGACUCUUAUCCACUAACUUCAGUUCCCUUUUGGGGCCUCAACACGAUUCCAGAGAUCUACUGAUGGCUCCACUGGGGAGCCCCCUCCAGCGAGCUGCCCCCCCCCCCCAAGAUCUACCUAUUAAGAAAAAGCCCAGGCAGAUCACAGUGAGUUGGCUGGUCAGCCUGCUACUUGCCAUUUGCCAUGUAUGCAGUAGGUGGUGAGCUUGUCGAGACAAGCUUAGAGAAUUGUUACAGAGUAAGACUAUGUGAGGCCCUAAGUUUUUGCUUCUUCAUUCAAAUUACAAAAAGGAUCUCAAGAGAACUUUGCAUUGAAUAGAUGAUGCUACUCCACUGCUCUUGCAAUUAGUUGUUCUGAUGUUCCUUUCAGCUGGUCCUAUAGCCCCCUUUCUCAGUAAUGUCUCCCCAGUGAAAGGAAAAAGACUGCAGAGGCUUCAGACUGACGGACGCUCAUGCCAACUGUGAAGUUGAAACAAAGCCAGUGACCAGCUGAAGAGGCCCCUCCUGCCCAGCAGCCACCCACAUGGUGCAGUUGCAGCCAGUAGUAAUCUUUGCAAGAAGCAGAGAAGCCCAGAACACUCAUGAGUCAAAACCAUGCCCUUCCUUGUGUGUAUCCCUGUCUCGUUCAGAUUGAUGCUCCUUCCAUUUGGAUCCUGGUAUGAAUAUGCUUGUUACUGUACGAGUGUAAAAAGCUUUGCCCAAAUGUGUUAAUGUAUGAAGAGACUGGAUUUUUUUUGGGGGGGGGAGAGAGUUAUUUUUAUCAAAACACAGUGUUCGUUCUUGAGAGUGAUCUAGAAAAUAAAAAGCAGUUGGAAAAGACAGCAAAGCAGUCACAGGCGAUCCACAGAGAUGCUCACACCACCACACAGAAACACCACACCAUGCUCCCAGACUCUGAGCAGGGAGCUUGACUCUGUGACAUACUAUGGCUGCUGCCAGGGGUCAACGUCAAGCCAGACAAAGGUGCAGAAGCUUCCUGAAGUGUAGUGAUAAACUGAGUCAGGAGACAAUAAGAACAGCAACGACACAAAAGACAACGUCCUUGGAGGGAGCCAAGUGGGUUUGCUUAAGGAAGGAUGCUCCCUUAAAGAGAGAAUGGGAAAUCAACCUUUAAAGGAUGUAAAAACAAAACUAGAUAAAUGGGAAGAUAGGAGAAAAUAGAGUCCUUAAUGCAAGCAUAAGGGUAAGCAGCAGACGGGCAGAGGAGAUCCACAUGGUGAGUCUUGGAGACUACACAUAUCUCGUCUUGAUUUUGCCUGACACUUGGAACCGCUGUCUGUGUGUCUAGUAGAGAUGCUGCACACAGGUAUCUCCCCUCCCCCACCCCGAAUGUCACCUAAACCAAACUAGAACUAAAGUUCCAGUUCUGUGUCACUACAAAGAUUGGUUGGUGAUUCCUGAAUAGAAGUCAUGAUUCUUCUGUUCGUGAUUGCUUGUUACCAAGUUUAUUCCAUACAGAAAA